GUCCAGCAGUAACCUAACAACCUCACCAGUCUUACAGUAAGAUCGAUGACACAUCCCUCACUCCCACACAAGCAUAGCAAUGGUAAAACACCCAUGGUAUGUCCCUCUCCUUAAUAGCUGAAGUCAAAGUGUCUGGGAAAAUCCUGCUUGGAAAUGUGUAUUUUUUUUUACUGUGCCUUUUUUUCUUCUCGCUAAUGAUCACUACUUAUUUAAUCUGUGAUGACAAUCAAUACUUAAUAGCUGCCCCCUACUCAUCAAUCAUCUUGCUUCAUCAAUCAUAUUUUAUUCCACCUCUGGAUUGGACAGGAGAUACAGCCCAUAUCAUUGGGCAGACCACUUGUCUAUCAUUAAUU